rnacentral:rRNA from 1 species
GUGAGGGAAAGGUGAAAAGCACCCCGGAAGGGGAGUGAAAUAGAACCUGAAACCGUGUGCUUACAAGUAGUCAGAGCCCGUUAAUGGGUGAUGGCGUGCCUUUUGUAGAAUGAACCGGCGAGUUACGAUUUGAUGCAAGGUUAAGCAGUAAAUGUGGAGCCGUAGCGAAAGCGAGUCUGAAUAGGGCGUUUAGUAUUUGGUCGUAGACCCGAAACCAGGUGAUCUACCCUUGGUCAGGUUGAAGUUCAGGUAACACUGAAUGGAGGACCGAACCGACUUACGUUGAAAAGUGAGCGGAUGAACUGAGGGUAGCGGAGAAAUUCCAAUCGAACCUGGAGAUAGCUGGUUCUCUCCGAAAUAGCUUUAGGGCUAGCCUCAAGUGAUGAUUAUUGGAGGUAGAGCACUGUUUGGACGAGGGGCCCCUCUCGGGUUACCGAAUUCAGACAAACUCCGAAUGCCAAUUAAUUUAACUUGGGAGUCAGAACAUGGGUGAUAAGGUCCGUGUUCGAAAGGGAAACAGCCCAGACCACCAGCUAAGGUCCCAAAAUAUAUGUUAAGUGGAAAAGGAUGUGGCGUUGCCCAGACAACUAGGAUGUUGGCUUAGAAGCAGCCAUCAUUUAAAGAGUGCGUAAUAGCUCACUAGUCGAGUGACACUGCGCCGAAAAUGUACCGGGGCUAAACAUAUUACCGAAGCUGUGGAUUGUCCUUUGGACAAUGGUAGGAGAGCGUUCUAAGGGCGUUGAAGCAUGAUCGUAAGGACAUGUGGAGCGCUUAGAAGUGAGAAUGCCGGUGUGAGUAGCGAAAGACGGGUGAGAAUCCCGUCCACCGAUUGACUAAGGUUUCCAGAGGAAGGCUCGUCCGCUCUGGGUUAGUCGGGUCCUAAGCUGAGGCCGACAGGCGUAGGCGAUGGAUAACAGGUUGAUAUUCCUGUACCACCUAUAAUCGUUUUAAUCGAUGGGGGGACGCAGUAGGAUAGGCGAAGCGUGCGAUUGGAUUGCACGUCUAAGCAGUAAGGCUGAGUAUUAGGCAAAUCCGGUACUCGUUAAGGCUGAGCUGUGAUGGGGAGAAGACAUUGUGUCUUCGAGUCGUUGAUUUCACACUGCCGAGAAAAGCCUCUAGAUAGAAAAUAGGUGCCCGUACCGCAAACCGACACAGGUAGUCAAGAUGAGAAUUCUAAGGUGAGCGAGCGAACUCUCGUUAAGGAACUCGGCAAAAUGACCCCGUAACUUCGGGAGAAGGGGUGCUCUUUAGGGUUAACGCCCAGAAGAGCCGCAGUGAAUAGGCCCAAGCGACUGUUUAUCAAAAACACAGGUCUCUGCUAAACCGUAAGGUGAUGUAUAGGGGCUGACGCCUGCCCGGUGCUGGAAGGUUAAGAGGAGUGGUUAGCUUCUGCGAAGCUACGAAUCGAAGCCCCAGUAAACGGCGGCCGUAACUAUAACGGUCCUAAGGUAGCGAAAUUCCUUGUCGGGUAAGUUCCGACCCGCACGAAAGGCGUAACGAUUUGGGCACUGUCUCAACGAGAGACUCGGUGAAAUCAUAGUACCUGUGAAGAUGCAGGUUACCCGCGACAGGACGGAAAGACCCCGUGGAGCUUUACUGUAGCCUGAUAUUGAAAUUCGGCACAGCUUGUACAGGAUAGGUAGGAGCCUUUGAAACGUGAGCGCUAGCUUACGUGGAGGCGCUGGUGGGAUACUACCCUAGCUGUGUUGGCUUUCUAACCCGCACCACUUAUCGUGGUGGGAGACAGUGUCAGGCGGGCAGUUUGACUGGGGCGGUCGCCUCCUAAAAGGUAACGGAGGCGCUCAAAGGUUCCCUCAGAAUGGUUGGAAAUCAUUCAUAGAGUGUAAAGGCAUAAGGGAGCUUGACUGCGAGACCUACAAGUCGAGCAGGGUCGAAAGACGGACUUAGUGAUCCGGUGGUUCCGCAUGGAAGGGCCAUCGCUCAACGGAUAAAAGCUACCCCGGGGAUAACAGGCUUAUCUCCCCCAAGAGUUCACAUCGACGGGGAGGUUUGGCACCUCGAUGUCGGCUCAUCGCAUCCUGGGGCUGUAGUCGGUCCCAAGGGUUGGGCUGUUCGCCCAUUAAAGCGGUACGCGAGCUGGGUUCAGAACGUCGUGAGACAGUUCGGUCCCUAUCCGUCGUGGGCGUAGGAAAUUUGAGAGGAGCUGUCCUUAGUACGAGAGGACCGGGAUGGACAUACCUCUGGUGUACCAGUUGUCGUGCCAACGGCAUAGCUGGGUAGCUAUGUGUGGACGGGAUAAGUGCUGAAAGCAUCUAAGCAUGAAGCCCCCCUCAAGAUGAGAUUUCCCAACUUCGGUUAUAAGAUCCCUCAAAGAUGAUGAGGUUAAUAGGUUCGAGGUGGAAGCAUGGUGACAUGUGGAGCUGACGAAUACUAAUCGAUCGAAGACUUAAUCAA